AUUUAUGUUUUCAAACAAAAGGGCUUUCUGAGAGUAGAAGCCAAACAGUGAUAUCAUCUCUCAUCCUUUGCGUUUAUAUUGCCCUGCAUUGUGCACCCCACACAAUAGAGCAAGAGGAAGAAAUGAGCCUCAGUGAUGUUUGGAGGGAACACAACUGUGUUUGCCAGUGACAUGAUGGUCUGUUUCAAAAUCCCAAAACAUCUGUAUGAACACUCGGAAUUAAAAAGCUGAGUUUAGUGGGUUUAGGUGAUGAAGUUAAUAAAUGAAAACAAUCAAUCAUAGUGUUAUAUAAUAAGAAUGAAAAAUUAGACUUUGAGUAAAUAAUUCUUUAGCAUUUUAUUGAUGUGAUCACAAAUUUAUGUGAUGCUCUGUGCUAAUCCAGUAUAUUUACACAGUGUAUGAUGGUCAGGUCAUGGGAGUGAGCAUUUCCAUUUCCUUGUGGAGGCUUUGAAAAGAGGAUGAUCUGAAGAUGCUAUGGAGAUUGCUAGAAGGUUGAGUGGCUGUGGUAGGCACGUGGUCAGCUGGGUGUUUCCGGUUCCUGGGUCCUGGAGCAGCUUAGGAGGGCUGCAAGCCUGUGUCCCCCCGAUGAGCUCCAGGCCUGUGGAGUGCGCAGGAUGGUUAAAGUUUGGAACGAGUCACAGUACAUUAGGGAAAUGAGGUGGAGGAGGCCUACUGUGAGAGCCCCGUGUCAGAAAGCAAAGCAGGAGUUUCCUUGGUAGGCCAGCCUUCAGCUGAGUGUUCCUGGGUUCCUGAGGACAGAGAAGCCUUGGAGGCUGCAAGUCUCGUGUCCUCUUGAUGAUCUCCACACCUGAGGAUGGUUGAGAAUAGACAGCUGCUGAGACUGGUCAUCCAUCACUGCAUGUGCCAGAUUUCUCAUUCCUGGUGACUCCAGGCAGUUGCUGUAAGACUUAUGUCCUGUCGAUGAGCUCUGUACGUGUGGACUGUUGAUGAUGGUUAAAGUUUGGAUCGAGUCAGAGUGCUGCAUUAGGGAAAUGAGGUGGAGGAGGCCUGCCAUGAGACCCCCAUGUCAGAAAGCAAAGGUGCGUAGCAAGGGCAGCUUCCCUGGAAGUUCAUACACUCUGUGUCCUGGCCCCCAUCUUCAGAGCUUGUGUAUGUUCUUCCAGAGGUGUUUUGGACAAGACAUUUGGAAGGGUAUAAAGAUUUUAACUGAUAAAGAACUGUGUGUGAAGUACUUGAUGCUUGUGAAAGAUAAGCGUGAUUUUCAUCUUGCUGGUUUCACAAAUGACAUUAGUUUGCAUUAGUCAAGUGGAAUGAUAAUGGAAUUUCAUAUAUGGAAUCAUUAUUUGUUAAGGUAGAAACAUAUAACAGAAAGAAAACCCUUUUGUAUUUUAGUUAAAAUAAUUAUUUAGAUUUUUGUUUCCUGGAACAUUGAAAGGUAUGUAGCAUUUUUGGAAUAGGUAAAAACUUUUUAUAUUGACAAACCUGCCACCAAUUUUUUCUAAUAAUAACUUUUGAGUGUUCAUGUUAUUUUUUCACAUGAAACUAUGUAUUUCAGUAUGUGUAUUCAUUUCUCUAGAAUCAAGUAAGGUGAUUGAAAAGAGCUAGAUACCAAUAAGGAAACAUGAUGAAGAGUAAGAAGUAUAGGCUGUUGGAGGAAAGAGCCCUCCUACAUAGACAUGCAAGCUAGAGAGUCCAUCUGUAGAAACAUUCUUUAGGGUCAGCACGAACAGGAAGAGCACUGGAAUGUGAUCUUGUCUAUUAUAAGUCUUUACUUUGCACAUUUGUCUAUAUGUGUUAGUUUCUAAAUAAUUUUCUGUACAGUGGCUGCUCUUAGAGGAAGUAAAUUGAUAUGCAGUCUUUCCACUGUGAAUCACAAGUAUUAAAAUGUGCAACCGAAUGCAUUUAUGUUUUUAUAAAAAGGACUUUCUAGAAAUGGAAGGUGAACUGUGAUACCAUCUCUCUUCCUUUGCGUUUCUAUUUCCCUGCAUUGUGCACCCCACACAAUAGAGGAAGAGGAAGAAAUGAGCCUCAGUGAUGUUUGGAGGGAACACAACUGUGUUUGCCAGUGACAUGAUGGUCUGUUUCAAAAUCCCAAAACAUCUAUAUGAACAUUCAGAAUGAAAAAGCUGAGUUUAGUAGGUUUAGGUGAUGAAGUUAAUAAAUGAAAACAAUCAAUCAUAGUGUUAUAUAAUAAGAAUGAAAAAUUAGACUUUGAGUAAAUAAUUCUUUAGCAUUUUAUUGAUGUGAUCACAAAUUUAUGUGAUGCUCUGUGCUAAUCCAGUAUAUUUACACAGUGUAUGAUGGUCAGGUCAUGGGAGUGAGCAUUUCCAUUUCCUUGUGGAGGCUUUGAAAAGAGGAUGAUCUGAAGAUGCUAUGGAGAUUGCUAGAACGUAAGGAGGGUGACAGGGAGGGGCUAAUGGGGUUCAGGUAACAGCUGCACAAAUGUGUUCAGGAAGAGACAGCAAGCAACUGUGGGGUGAUGCCAGUUCAUGGGUACCUGUCAUACUUUAUGAAUAUUUCAUGAAUAUGGUAUCCGCACUUGUGGCUUGGGGUUCUCCUGCUUGUGGCCGUUGCUGGUCUUCUCCAUUAGGUUUUCCUCUUAGAGGAACAGGUUUGAAGUCUCCCUGUGGGAAGUACACUCCCCCCGUUCCCUGUUCCUUGUUCGGAGGAUGCAGGUCCACUGUCCAUCAGUGUGCAGUCCCUCUGUGGGAGGUGCUGUUGCCCAAGGACAUGGGGCCCUGACUGCAGUGCACACAGAUGAUGGAGUUAUGCUGCGAAGGGCCCUUGCUGUGCUGCUGUGCCUGGAAGGGGCCCAGCAUGAGUCUGGCCAAGAGCAGCACUCCACAGAUGUUGGCCAGAGAGAGGCAGACACACGCCCAGUGAAGCACACACCUCAGUCAUCCUGUGCACACAUGGAAGGAACACAUUCAUGCACAUGGAGGAUCCCGAGGGCCAGUCGCUGUGGUAGGCACGCCGUCAGCUGGGUGUUUCCGGUUCCUGGGCCCUGGAGCACCCUAUGAGGGCUGCAAGCCUGUGUCCCCCCGAUGAGCUCCAGGCCUGUGGAGUGCGCAGGAUGGGUGAGUUGCUGUGGCACACAUGCCUCUGCUGGCUGGGCCUGCCUUCUGGACCCCAGAGGAGCCUUGGAGGGCUGCCAGCCUUGUGUCCUCAUGACCAGCUCCGGGCUUGUGGAUGUUCAGGACAGUGGUACUGCCAUGUGAUGGAUUCCAGAGGACUACCAGGAAGACUUCUUUAUCCUAAGAUACAAUGAGAGGUGGUUUUGCCUUGUGACAGAUUCCAGGGACAAGAGGGAAGAUUAGCAUGUCCUGAGGCCCACAGAGAGGUCAAAAAACCCUGCAGCACAUGUGCAGAGGCUUCUUCUGAAUGUUGAUGAAUGGCUGAUGAUGGUGACCUUGCCAUAUGAGGGACUCCAAACACUUAGUGGGAAGAUCUGUAUCUCUUCAGAUCGCUAGAGAGGUCAGCAAGCCCUGGGACACAUCUGGAGUAUCUUCUUUUGUUUGAUGAUGGAUGGCUGAUGACAUUGGCUUUGCCAUGUGAUGGAUUGCAGGGACCUAGAGAGAAGAACUGUGUACCCGAGACCCUCAGAGAGGUCGACGUGGAUUGACCUCAUUAGGGUAGCAGUGCGUGUCUGAUGAAGAUUGCUGAGGCACAGCAUGAAGACCUGCAUAUCCCGAGAGCCCUGGGAAGCUCUGGAAACCACGGAGCUAUAUGAAGUGGCUUCUUUUGGACGGUGGAGGAUAACAUUUAUAGUGAAAUUAAAGAGAAGAUGAAGUAUGUCCGAAUUCCCUGGAAUCUUGUCGCCAAACCAGAGAAGUGCUGAUUUUGUCACUUGUACCAACUCCCUCAUCUGUGAAGGAAUAAAACAAUGUACUCCUGGGGUGAAGAUAAAGCCCAUACAGGAGGGGCAGUUGUUCAGGCACUUGAAUUAACUCCCAAAUGUUAGUUCCAGAAAAUGAGCUGACAGCAUACUUUCCAAUCAAAGUCUCCACUCCUGUGGUCUCUUGGACCCUCUUGCAGGAAAUGACUUUCUGGGAGUGACUGCCACCAGUAAAUCCUUGAAAGAAGAUUCCGCAUAAAGCUCUUCACAUACAUAUUGUCCAAGACAAACUCUCUGAAGGUGGCGAUCACAGUGGUGGUCGAGGUGAUGUGUUACAGUUGGAGCUGUUACUUCUACCACCAUCUGCACCAAAACAGUGACAGUUUUCCUUUGCUGGAGAGUCCUUCUUUCCCGUGUGGCAGUGGAUACCUUCUGCAGAUAAGAAAUGCUUAACUGAGAAAUGCUCAUGUUGGGAUGUCAUCGAUGAGACUUUAAUUUGGGCAUGGUGACUAUUUCCCUUCCUGCCACUUGACUCAAUCCCAGGAGCCUCAGUAGAGGAAAUAUUUUUGCACAAGAAGCUCAAAAUGGUGGAAUUUCUCAGUGCUCCUAUAAAUAUACAUUUACAAUUUGUAUUUGCCACAUGGGAUAAAUUUUAAAGUAGGAUAUAUUCAAAAGAAACCACAUGAUUUUUUUCAAAAAUUCAAAGCGUAUUCAAAUAAUUAAUAUAUAAAUUAAGUGCCCUGCUCUCUUUCAAUUCUAUAGUUUUCUCUAUUAAGGGAGGUGUGUGCAUUCUUUUAAUGUAUAGAUGUGCACAAGCUGUUUUUUGGAGGGGUCUAGAAGUGGGUCCAUCUUGUAAUAUAUUCUUCUGAAAAUUGCCUCCUUCAUUUACCAGUCUUUUCAAUGGGCAUUUUCUAAUAUAUACACAUCUGUGUCAUUUGGUGAGUGACUGCAUGAUUGUUUUGUAGAUGAAAUAUAAUUAAAUGUUUGAGGUAUCUCUCAUUCAUAGAUGUUUAUGUUAGCACCAAAUUUCUGUGCAGUGAACCUCCCUACAUAUCAACAAUUCUACAUUUGUCAAUGAUAUCAUAAUAAAAUUCCUUAGCAGUUGAAUUACUGGGAUUAAGGGUGGGCACACUUCAAAUUUUGAAAAUUAUUGCAAGAUUUCCUUUAAAAUGUGAUUAAUAACUUUAUCCUCGAUGGCAAUGAAUGAGGUUGCCAACUUUCUCACAACCUCACAGAUAAAUGGACUUUAUAAAUAUUUAAAAUCUUUGCCAGUGCGAUCGCCCAAACUAUUGUCUUAAAUUGUAUUUCUUUUGUUUUUAAGUUUAAUCAUUUUUUCAUAUUUAUUAGCCAUUUGUAUUUUUUAAUUUCCUCUUUAUGCCCAAUUUUGGGGGUGUGGGGAGGUUUUAGCCUCAGAUUUCAAAGAGCACAUUUAUUAUUGGUAAAAUAAGUUUUGGAUUGUCAAGCAUUACAGAUAUUUAUACACACUUUUUAACUUUGUUUUUGUUAUAAGAAUGUGUAUGAUUGUUACAUGUUCAAGUAUAACCAUGUUUGCUUUGAUAGCUUCUGAGUUUCAUGUCAUUUUUGGAAAGAUAUUUAUACUGAGUCCAUAAAACCCUUCACCUAUGUUAACUUUGAAUUCUUUUGUGUUUUUUUAAUUCAAAUUCUUAAAUCAUGAGGAAUUUUUUGUUUUGAAAUCUUAAAGCUGCCAAGUUAUUCGCCAUUACUUGCGAUUAUUUGCCAAUAAUUGCCCAUUUAUCUGUAACCAUCUUGCGCAUAUGCUGUAUUCCCAUCUGUGACUGGCUCCAUUUUUGUUCUGUGGAUCUGUGUGUCUCUUCUUCUGCCUUCUGUCUCAUGUGUCUUCUCGUUGGAAGAAAUUACAGUUUAGACUGCAAUUUCAUCAACUUUAAUAAAUUAAUUUAGGGGAGAAUUGUUUCUUUAAUAAUAUUAAGUCUUCAUACUCAAGAACAAGGUAUGUCUCGGUUUCAUUCAGUAAUUUGAAUUGUGGUUAAUAUUUUCACUUUGAUAUUGGGGUUCUUUUAAUUUAUUUGUUUGUUCAUUUUUCUGUAUCUGGAAAUUUAGUUUUGUUUUUUGGGGUCCGUGGUCACCUUACUGUUUUUCCUUGCUUUUCAGAUUUUUUUCAAAAUUCUGUAUACCAGAUUCUUUGCAAAUAUUGAUAGUUUUGAUUUCUCCCCUUCCAGUUGGUCCUGAUUUUGAUAAAGUCCACAGUCUGGUACUUUCAGAGCACUUAAACAGUUGUGGAAGUAUUACCCACCCUUGAUUUAAGUGGGUUUCAGUAGAAUGCUUCUUAGGUUUGAGCAGCACAUUUUUCCUUAUCUGUUUCCCGAAAGACCACCCAGAAGAGCUAUGACCAAGUAAAGCUGAGUCGGUAAACUUAACCGCAGCAAGGGAAAGCAGCUCCUUGACAGGACUUGGUAAUAUCUGCAAAGUGGACUAAGGGUGUGGAGGCCUGGGCUGAUGUGUCCAGGGUGCGGAACUGAUGGGAAGGGCAGAAUCCAUCAUGCAGUGCUUAGGGUUGGUGGAAAGGUGAUCUGGUUCUCAGGGGAAGUCUUGACGAGCAAGUUAAGUACUAAGUGAGCUGUUUGCUGAGGUAAGAUGCCAUCAGUGACAGAAGGCCUGUUUGCCUAGAUGAGCAAGCUGAGUGUAUUUAUCAGUUUACAGUUUUAUCUGGCUGAGCAGGACUCUGUUGGGGUGGUGUCAGUUCUUAUUCCCAAUAGGUAAGUUAUUUUAAUCAUUGAGAUAAUAAGAUCCUAACUUUAAGGUUAAGAAAUUCAGUCUGUUGCAUUACAAGGAAAGUCUUCCACUUUUUAUAUUUCUCUCAGGAACUUUAAUCACUACCAAGCAAUACAUACAAUCAAUGCUUUUUGCACAAAUAGCUGUACUAUUUGUUUUAAAAAUGUUUAUCACCAUAGAAGAAUUAAUUUUCUUUUAUUAAAACUUCUUUUUAUCCUUUGCAUGAGUAAACCCUAUUUUAUUUUCAGAGUGUUUUACUAUUUUAAUUUACUGCUGAAUUCUGGAUUUUAUUUGAACUUUUGAAAGUAUGUGGCUAGGUAAAAUUAAUCUAUAAUUUCCUUUUUGUGCAAUUUUAUCAUGUUUGAUAUCAAAUUAUCUAGUUGUGUUAAAAUGAUUUUGAGGAUUUUCUUUUUACUCUGUGCUGUAGAAUAGAUUUAUUUAUUUAUUUAAUUUAUUUUUGUGGGGUACUGGAGAUCAAACUCGGGACCUUGCACUUGUGAGGCCGGCAGCAGCACCAUUGAGCUAGAUCCCUGGCCCUAGAAUAGGUUUUAAAGCUCUAACAUUAUCAUCAGUGGUGACGUGUACACAUCAGUGAAAUCACCUGAACUCUCCCUUGUUUUUGGCUGUUUGGACUAGAAGUGAAGCUGUCUCAGAUGGACAAUUUUUCAUUCCUUUUCUAUAGUAAUUUUUUUAAUGUUUUAUGUCUUGUAUAUAACCUUUUUCUUUUACAAGGUCUAAAUCCAUGCAGAUUUUUCAAAUACAUUAGCAUGAAGUUUUGAUUAUUUCUUCCUUGCCUUUUUUUAGCCAAAUAGUUUAGUAUAUUUUUAGCAUCACUUGUCCUCCCCUCUCCAGUCAUAUUUUUCAUAUAAUUUAUCGGUUUUCUAAAAUGUCCUUAUUUAUCUGCAUAUUUCCCUGUAUUCCUGUACUUCUUUUCCUAAUAAAUCUUAAGCAUGUAUAAUCCAUUUAUUGACACUUGUUCUUGGUAAUGAAAGAUUUGUUCUGUUGUAUAAUUUAAAAACUUUUCAUUAUGAAUAAUUAUAAGCAUAAAGACUAUGAAGAGAAAAGAACAGUGAACUUGCGGAUACUGGUAACCAGGAACCCAUGUUCAACUGUGAACAUUUACCAUAUUUGCUUUAUGUUAUUAUUUUUUUUAUUUUUUAUUUUUUGGUACCG
ensembl:lncRNA